CUUUAGUUAUGCCACCCACGACCUCUCCAUGAUUGCAUACAGCCAUACAUGUCCUUAUCAAAGUUCCCACUUUCUUCCCAACCCUAGCCCUCUUAAAAAUGUUGUCUCCUUCUCAGUACUCUCACCAAUUCCAAGCUUGUUAUAAUUACCAUUAUCUUGUUGUUCUCUUCUGAGGUUAUUUUGUUCUGCGUUUUGUUUUCUCAAUGUCAAACUCCGAAGUCUUUUUAUCUUCACCUUCUUUGCCUGAGCCAUCUCCUGUUAGGGUUCAACUGGUUUCUAAAUCUGUAUCCGACCGAUUACUCGAGAAGUUUUUCGAUGUAUCUCAAUACAACUUUGAUUAUGAGAAGAGUGGACUUUGGUCUCCCCCAGUUCGGAGAAGUGCCUUUUUAAGCUCACCUGGCAGAAUAUUCACUGAACAAGAAAUGCUUGAGAGGCUCAGGAGUGUAAUGGACAGACGUCGUAGUAGAAGAUAUAAUAUUUGUUUCAGCACAUUUUGCUGCUCUUGAAGGAUUUACGGAAGACCUUCUUUCAAUAAUGGGUACUGUCACCAGUGCAGUUUAACAACAAAAGCAGAGACAGAGAAAAGAAAGAAACAAGAGAAACCAACAGAAGAGUUACUGUAUACUUAGGAUAAUUGUGCGCAAAGUGAAGACAAGAUUUGGGAUGGGAAGAUGCUAGAUUGGAAUAUCACAUGGAAAUGACAUGCUAAUCAUGUGGUCAUCAGUUUUGGAUUGGUAACCAAAUCCCCAAAAUCAUAACUCAUGCGCUGCGGACAAUACUUUUGUGGGGUCCCGGAGCUGCAACGUAUGCAUGCAAAUUACAAGGAGAAUAAAUUUAAAAGGCCAGCCUGACUUGAGCUGCUCUCAGCCUCUCACCAUGCAGACAGCCAAAGAAAUUUGUUUUUCUUUCAGCAAUCUAAUCUGUCUAGACAUUGAAUCAGAGAGCCCUCCAAAGUCAAGCUGGUCCUGUCCAGCCCUGUUUCUGCGUCGUACAGGACAGUUUUUUUCAGAAACAAGUUCUGCCCUCUUGUUCUUCAAUCCUUAUUUUGGGAUAUCAAAGUGAGGUGUAAACUGAAGGGAUCGAGUAAAAGGAAAAUAGACGAAAGAGCUUUCAUAGUACUUUUACUGUUCAUCGCAAACAGUGAACUUCAUCAAGUCCCAUGUAGCUAUGGAAGUACCUGUCAACUAUAUUUAUGGCCUUGGGGAGACAGUGGGGCCCUU